rfam:Gossypium hirsutum cultivar TM-1 chromosome 15, whole genome shotgun sequence
CUCAAGGAAGCGCUUUGCCUACGUGGACAGAAAAUGCUUCCUUGAGGGCGUGCUUUCUGUCCACGUAAGCAAAGCGCUUCCUUGAGG